GAGUUAGACUUUGCAGACAUC
rnacentral:siRNA from 1 species